AACGAACGCUGGCGGCAGGCUUAACACAUGCAAGUCGAGCGCCCCGCAAGGGGAGCGGCAGACGGGUGAGUAACACGUGGGAAUCUACCCAUCCCUACGGAACAACUCCGGGAAACUGGAGCUAAUACCGUAUACGCCCUUUGGGGGAAAGAUUUAUCGGGGAUGGAUGAGCCCGCGUCGGAUUAGCUAGUUGGUGGGGUAAAGGCCUACCAAGGCGACGAUCCGUAGCUGGUCUGAGAGGAUGAUCAGCCACACUGGGACUGAGACACGGCCCAGACUCCUACGGGAGGCAGCAGUGGGGAAUAUUGGACAAUGGGCGCAAGCCUGAUCCAGCCAUGCCGCGUGAGUGAUGAAGGCCUUAGGGUUGUAAAGCUCUUUCGCCAGGGACGAUAAUGACGGUACCUGGAUAAGAAGCCCCGGCUAACUUCGUGCCAGCCGCCGCUGUAAAAC
rnacentral:rRNA from 1 species